rnacentral:rRNA from 1 species
AUUGAACGCUGGCGGCAUGCCUAACACAUGCAAGUCGAACGGUAACGGGCCUUCGGGUGCCGCUGAGUGGCGAACGGGCGGGUAAUUAAUCGGUACGUGACCGACCGUGUGGGGUAGGGAGGCGAAAGCUAUCCUUAUACAAUACACGAUCAUAGGAUAAAAGGCGGGAACUGCACGGCAUUGCGGCGACUGCGCGGCUGAUUGCUGAUUAGGUAGUUGGUGGGAUAAUAGCUUACCAAGCCGACGACCUGUAGCUGGUCAGAGAGGCUGAUCAGCCACACUGGAACUGAGACACGGCCCAGACUCCUACGGGAGGCAGCAGUGGGGAAUUUUGGACAAUGGGCGCAAGCCUGAUGCAGCCAUGCCGCGUGGAGGAGGAAGGCCUUCGGGUUGUAAACUGCUUUUGUAGGGAAGGAAGAGCGUUCGUUUAAUACGGGAGCGUCAUGACGGUACCGUAAGAAUAAGCACCGGCUAACUACGUG